GCAGUUAUGGAAUAAGAAAUAGCUCCGUUGGUUAGAGCGUGGUGCUGAUGGAUGACAAGGUUGCAGGUUCGAUCCCCGUAUUCCUGCA